rnacentral:misc_RNA from 1 species
AACGCAUCUUGCACUCUUGGGUCAUUCCUGAGAGUAUGCUUGUUUGAGUGUCACGAAACCCUCUCAACCCCGCUUUCUUUAUUGAAAGUAGUUUGGGUUUGGAUCAUGAUGUUUGUUGGAGUAUUUAAGUAUGCCUCAACUGCAUUGAAAGAUAACAAGCUGAAUUGACAUACUUGCGGCUUGACCUGUUGUUGUAACUUGAAACUCAAUAGGAACGCAUUAGAGUUGAACGAGCUUUAUUGAAACCGAAUUUAACACAUUCAUUUCAUUUCGACCUCAAAUCAAGUAGGACUACCCGCUGAACUUAA